UUUCAAAUCAUGGCGGGGAGCAACAAAGUCAUGCUCCAGCCACAACAAGUGUUUCUUCUUCAUGUACUGUAGUGUGCCGGAAAGGUUUCAG